rnacentral:tRNA from 1 species
GCGGGUAUGGUCUAAUGGUAGAAUUCCUCCUUGCCAAGGAGAAGGCACGGGUUCGAUUCCCGUUACCCGCUC